GAUGAACGCUGGCGGCGUGCCUAAUACAUGCAAGUCGAGCGAACAGACGAGGAGCUUGCUCCUCUGACGUUAGCGGCGGACGGGUGAGUAACACGUGGAUAACCUACCUAUAAGACUGGGAUAGCUUCGGGAAACCGGAGCUAAUACCGGAUAAUAUAUUGAACCGCAUGGUUCAAUAGUGAAAGACGGUUUUGCUGUCACUUAUAGAUGGAUCCGCGCCGCAUUAGCUAGUUGGUAAGGUAACGGCUUACCAAGGCAACGAUGCGUAGCCGACCUGAGAGGGUGAUCGGCCACACUGGAACUGAGACACGGUCCAGACUCCUACGGGAGGCAGCAGUAGGGAAUCUUCCGCAAUGGGCGAAAGCCUGACGGAGCAACGCCGCGUGAGUGAUGAAGGUCUUCGGAUCGUAAAACUCUGUUAUUAGGGAAGAACAAAUGUGUAAGUAACUAUGCACGUCUUGACGGUACCUAAUCAGAAAGCCACGGCUAACUACGUG
rnacentral:rRNA from 1 species